rnacentral:rRNA from 1 species
UGGGGAAUAUUGGACAAUGGGCGAAAGCCUGAUCCAGCCAUGCCGCGUGAGUGAUGAAGGCUCUAGGGUUGUAAAGCUCUUUCGCCGAUGAAGAUAAUGACGGUAGUCGGAGAAGAAGCCCCGGCUAACUUCGUGCCAGCAGCCGCGGUAAUACGAAGGGGCUAGCGUUGUUCGGAAUUACUGGGCGUAAAGCGCACGUAGGCUGUGCCGCAAGUCAGGGGUGAAAUCCCAGAGCUCAACUCUGGAACUG